GGGGAGUGCGAGGAUGCCAUUUAGAGCUAAUGCUUUCAACUGUGCUUUGCGGGGUGUGCUCGGUUGGCCCACAACUGCGCCCUUCCACCUAGUGUUGGCCCAGCCACCACAGCUGGGGUGUGGCUGCUCAUAAAUAGUCCCUAAAGAACAAUGACGAUUCUUUUUGGAUUCCUGAACACUUCAUCUCAGCUGUGGGAGAACUCCGGGGGGUGUGUCCAGUUCUCAGUGAUGUUUUUUUCCUAAUUUUUUUUUUUUAAUCUCAAAGAUGUUUUAAUCAAAGCUCUGCUUCCUUCCUGGAGCUGCUUUGGGAAUGGCCUUGUUCUCCGUGUCCUGGCUUUGACAAUAGCACCUCCACUGAAUUUUUCCUUAGCAGCUCUCAGAUUUGGGUCUGUCCCAUCCCCUCCCCUCUGCACGCUCCCCUUUCCUCUCUUCUCUGUUUUGGCACCGCAUAGUUCUUUUCAGUAAAGUGGCUGAAGGGUAACAAACCCAAAAUACCUAAGUAACAAAUGAGUCACCACACUUCAACAGCCGGCGGGUGUGCUGGGGGUAAAUAGCAGAGGAGGUGGCUGCCCAGAAAGAGACACAGGGAGAGGAAGGGAGAAAAAUAGAAACAAAACCAACCAGUUGGCAGAGGCGGCCGGCAGCAGCUGAGUGGGCAGCGGGGGCGGGAGGCUUGGGGUUGGCUUGCAAAGCUCUUCCACCCGUGUCCCUCAUAAGUGCAAAACCAGAUGCCAGAGACUUGGAAAGAGCAAAGUUUGAUGUCAAGAGGAAGCAGGAAGACUUACAGCUAGCGAGGCUCUGGCCACUAGAAAGAAAGACCAGACCCAAGACUUGAUAAAGGUAAACUUGCUUGUCCUCGUAAAGUUCCUUGAAAGUGCUGCCUCUGCUUACUUCAACCUCGCCUCGUGGAGCCAAUCCAGUAAAAAACGAAAAGUCUUCUUUGGAAAGGAUUCAUGAAACUCAGCUCUGGAAAGUCCAUAUUCUUGGCCUCAAAAGUCUUCAUUUUAAAAUUCUUUUUUUAAAGCUACAUAUAAAGUGCAUACUUGUUCUAAAAAUAAAAAUAGAUACAAAAAUUUAGCCAUAGUUCCAACAUUUUAGUGUAUUUCCUCCCAGUCCUUUUAUAGGCAUAGAUUUAUUCUUUCAACAUAGUUGUAUUUAUCCUGUAUUUGGAAUUUUGUAUGCUGCCUUUUGCUAAAUACAUCUUACUGUUUUCCCUGCUAUCAUAUGGAAAAUUAUGCUACUGUGAUUGUUAAUGGUUGCCUAAUAAUCCAUAGAGUUUACUAAUCAUCCCAUUUUUCCAACAUGAAAUAUGUUUACAAUUUUAAAAUAUAUGCCUUUAUUUAAUUAUUGUAUAGUAAGAUUACUCUGGAAUUGUUCUGUAUGACAUUGCAAAAGAUGGGUAAAAGCCAUUAUACAUUUUGUCAAA
rnacentral:lncRNA from 1 species